rnacentral:rRNA from 1 species
UACGUAGGGGGCAAGCGUUGUCCGGAAUUACUGGGCGUAAAGAGCGCGCAGGCGGUCGUUCAAGUCGAGUGUGAAAGCCCCCGGCUCAACUGGGGAGGGUCACUCGAUACUGAUCGACUCGAAGGCAGAAGAGGGAAGCGGAAUUCCCGGUGUAGUGGUGAAAUGCGUAGAUAUCGGGAGGAACACCAGUGGCGAAGGCGGCUUUCUGGUCUGCUCUUGACGCUGAGGCGCGAAAGCUAGGGUAGCAAACGGG